rnacentral:rRNA from 1 species
GAUGAACGCUAGCGGCAGGCUUAAUACAUGCAAGUCGUGGGGCAGCAGGGGUAGCAAUACUCGCUGGCGACCGGCAAACGGGUGCGGAACACGUACACAACCUUCCUUUUAGUGGGGAAUAGCCCAGGGAAACUUGGAUUAAUACCCCGUAACACAUAGAGGCGGCAUCGCUUUUAUGUUAUAGCUCCGGCGCUAAAUGAUGGGUGUGCGGCUGAUUAGAUAGUUGGCAGGGUAACGGCCUACCAAGUCUACGAUCAGUAGCUGAUGUGAGAGCAUGAUCAGCCACACGGGCACUGAGACACGGGCCCGACUCCUACGGGAGGCAGCAGUAAGGAAUAUUGGUCAAUGGACGCAAGUCUGAACCAGCCAUGCCGCGUGAAGGAUGAAGGUCCUCUGGAUUGUAAACUUCUUUUAUGGGGACGAAACCUCUUUUCUAAAGAGACUGACGGUACCCUAGGAAUAAGCACCGGCUAACUCCGUGCCAGCCGCCGCGGUAAC